rnacentral:tRNA from 1 species
GUCAGGGUGGCCGAGCGGUCUAAGGCGCCCGACUCAAGAGAGAUUUUCUGGGUGGUCUGGUCCACGAAUGUGGGCGUGGGUUCGAAUCCCACCUCUGACA